UACGGGGGGAGCAAGCGUUGUUCGGAUUUACUGGGCGUAAAGGGCGCGUAGGCGGUCAGCACAAGUCAGUUGUGAAAUCUCCGGGCUUAACCCGGAAAGGUCAACUGAUACUGUGCGACUAGAGUGCGGAAGGGGCAACUGGAAUUCUCGGUGUAGCGGUGAAAUGCGUAGAUAUCGAGAGGAACACCUGCGGCGAAGGCGGUUGCCUGGAGCUUUGCUGACGCUGAUGCGCGAAAGCGUGGGGAGCGAUCCGG
rnacentral:rRNA from 1 species